rnacentral:rRNA from 1 species
AUUAGCGGCGGACGGGUGAGUAACACGUGGGCAACCUGCCUAUAAGACUGGGAUAACUUCGGGAAACCGGAGCUAAUACCGGAUACGUUCUUUUCUCGCAUGAGAGAAGAUGGAAAGACGGUUUACGCUGUCACUUAUAGAUGGGCCCGCGGCGCAUUAGCUAGUUGGUGAGGUAAUGGCUCACCAAGGCGACGAUGCGUAGCCGACCUGAGAGGGUGAUCGGCCACACUGGGACUGAGACACGGCCCAGACUCCUACGGGAGGCAGCAGUAGGGAAUCUUCCGCAAUGGACGAAAGUCUGACGGAGCAACGCCGCGUGAACGAAGAAGGCCUUCGGGUCGUAAAGUUCUGUUGUUAGGGAAGAACAAGUACCAGAGUAACUGCUGGUACCUUGACGGUACCUAACCAGAAAGCCACGGCUAACUACGUGCCAGCAGCCGCGGUAAUACGUAGGUGGCAAGCGUUGUCCGGAAUUAUUGGGCGUAAAGCGCGCGCAGGUGGUUCCUUAAGUCUGAUGUGAAAGCCCACGGCUCAACCGUGGAGGGUCAUUGGAAACUGGGGAACUUGAGUGCAGAAGAGGAAAGUGGAAUUCCAAGUGUAGCGGUGAAAUGCGUAGAGAUUUGGAGGAACACCAGUGGCGAAGGCGACUUUCUGGUCUGUAACUGACACUGAGGCGCGAAAGCGUGGGGGAGCAAACAGGAUUAGAUACCCUG